GCUCACUGGGGCGGCGGUCUCAGCGCACACGCUCACACCUCUUUCCACGUCCUCCAGCUCUUCUGGGACGCUGAGGCGUUCCCCGAUGAGUGGACAGACUGAAUCUCUCCAGCGUGUCCUGGGUCCGCCCCGGGGUCUCCUCCCAGUCGGACGCCUCACCCAGACGCCCUUCAGAGGAAGCUCACGGAUGGCGUUCGUACCUUCAGCCUGAUCCUUUCAGUCACAGCUCGUGCAGUCACAACACUGCUGCCAAUAAAGUGACACAAAGCAUCUUAAAGCCAUUUCAAUAAACGCACACACAGAGUUAUCACAGCACUCAUGAAACAUGCACACUGGGCACAAACUAACUUCUAACAUGUUGAACUUUGCUCCAGUUUGUUCUGAUUGGCUGAAGCUUGGUAGUCACAUGGCUGCCUGUGAGUGUGUUUAAACACAGAGAGAAGCUGAAGCUUCACAUGUUGUGUUCUUCACACAGUCGGAUCAAACGUGUAAACUUUGUGACACAGCCUGGUCUUCAUGUGUGUGUGUGCACGGUCUGAGGAGCUCUCAAGCUUUUCAUAGAGGACACACACACUGAUGCAGGAAAAGAUGGAUGCACAUGAAAGCUUCACACACUCCUGAUGAGUGAGGACACACACACUCACAACAUGAGCAGCCAGCAGGCUUUAAAUGCUCAGUGUGAAGAAGUUUCCACACUUACCUUAAUAUCAUCAAGCAGCCUUCUUCUUCUACUGGUUCCCACAGUUCCCAGUGCUAAUAAAUGCACAGCCACAUGUGCUCUCUGUCAUCACCUACAGAUCUGAGAUCAGUAGCUUGUCCACUGUAGGCUUUAUCUUUUCCAUGUAACUGUGCUGCUUCACAGAGAGGGAGAACUGCAGCGCUUUGUUUGCUUGUGAACAAUAUGUGCAUGUUAAAUAUGAACAGCUGCUCCAGCAUGUGUUAGUGUGACAGACUGAAAUGUUGCUCCUUUUAAAGCUUCUGCAGGAACUUCAUUUGAACAGGCAGGAAUUAGUUGUUCAAUAAACGCAUGAAUUGGACCUUAAAGGUGGCCAAUCGAUACCAACGCUGGUAUUGGUGUCGGAUCAAUACUAGUGUGAUGGGACUGAGACUUUGUUUCUAUGCUCUAAGUUCAUUAUACAGACACUGGACUGUGUUACAUCAAUAUUUUGGGGGAAAACAAAGUAGGUCAAACAUGCACAAUGAAAACUGUCUGAAGCUUUUGGUGUGACUAUCACACCUAUUUUAUUUGUAGCCUGCAGCACAUUGUGUUUUACUGAGACGCACAUUUAUAUUCAAGGUGUCCAAAAAAGCUCAAAGCUGUGUUUUUAUUGUGUUAACUAAUUAUUGCAGAAUGUGAACAUCACAGUGAUUUAGUGUCAUUAAAAUGUGUUCAGAACAUUGAUGAUGGUUCAUCUCUGUUAAGAGUUUUUGUGAUAUUUUAAAAAUGUUUUCCUUUGCCUUAUAAUGUUUCAUUUACUCAGUUGUCCUUAUAAUGUUUCAUUUACUCAGUUCUCCUUUUCCUGUUUCAUUUACUCACUAAGAAAGGCCUGAGAAGCACAUAGUGUUCACAUAUCUUUAUGUUUUGUCUUUGCUUCUUCUCACACACAUACACAUGAGCCCUGCAGUAAUCGCUGACUCCUGUAAAAGUAUCUUGCAGACACCCUUGGAAACAGGACCCAACUGGCUUCUGUUUUCCUCGAGAUAGACAAUACACUCACACACACACACACUGUGUCCUAUACAUGCCCAGAUUGUCUGUUACAGCCUGAAAAAACAGGGAAUGCUACGAUGUAUAAAUAAAGCUGACUGCAAAGCCUCGGUGUGAGUAUCACCCGAUCACUCACCCGUGCGCACGUAGUUCUCUGAACAAAACUCUGACUGUUUCUGUAUUCUUUCAAUGUUUUAAAAAUGUCUUGCCACUGACAUUUAAUUGGUCCUUCGAGCCGGAUAGUUUAUUGAUAUUAUUGUAUCAUCUAACUAUUCACAGACGGAGCCACCGGAUCCUGACGUCGUGAGUACCUGCACUGCAACCACCGCUCCUAGCGAAGCGAGGAAAAGCCCAGAGUCGUAAAUUCGCCUACUGGCCAGUGUCUUAUACAGGUCCACGACGCCAGGUUCUCGGUGACGCCGGGAAAAAGAACACAGCGCAACAUUGAAGGCUGCUUUGCCGGCCCUGAAAGCCGAGGCUGACCUGGACUCCUGCUCUCCCCUCUACCACCUUCGACGUGACCCUGACCAAAUGCUGCAGCAGCUGGACUUACAACAACAAUUUCCUGAAAAUGUCAACAGGGCUGCAGAAAAGCGAUCUUAUGCAGCGGAGACGGAGAGCGUUAAAACCAAGGCCCGUUUCACUACACGGGGGAAAAAUUCCCAGACUGCGUCAGCUGACAGAGCUGUGACGAGACGCCUGCCAAGCAGAAUGACAAGUAAGGCCGAGCAAAAGAAUGCUGACCUUAACAAUUCUGCAACACUGUGCAGGACAGUGAUGGACCAACACGGCAGCAAAAAGGGCGUGCCAGAGACAGGAGGAGCAACUGAGGUCGAAUGGACAAAACACAGAAGAAGAUGCAGUUUUCACCUGCGGUGAGCAUGGACACUGGAGAAAAGGACUGUCCCAAUUGAGGUCAGAACCAGGACCGACUGAACUUUGAACAGCAGCAAUGGUGGCAAGUGGACUGAAAAGGAGGAGGGCAGGACCCCAGGGCACGCUUCAGGCUGUGGUUUACCCAGAACACUAGAACAGGAAAGUGAUGAACACACACACAUCUAUAUACACCGAUUCAGAAUGAAGUGAAAUAUACACAUGAACACAUGUGCACUCGUUGAUAGAGGGAGAAAUGGCACACACACACGCUUAUGCAAUGAAGAAUGCUCUGCUCACAAAUGCUUAUCCUCAUGCAAAAUGCUGCACACAAACAUCCCAAUACAUAAUUUUUAUGAGAAGCAAUUGAUUACUUAAAAUGUGUUUUAUGUCACCCAGAGGAUAUUUAUGUAGAUUUAAGGAACAAGGUCUAAAAUCGUCCGGUUAUGAAAACAAUGUCUGUGCGUGAGGUCUGUUUAUGGCUCAAGGUCUUGAUUGAAUUGUCUAUUGUGCUACACACUUCGUAAAUGAAGUAAUAUCAAAAGUCUCUGAAGCACUGGGCUUCAGUAUAAAGCAUCACUGUUCAUACCACCCACAGAGUGCAGGGUUGGUAGAAAGAACAAACGGCACUAUAAAACAAAGACUAAGGAAAUGCAUGGCGGAAACCGGUCGCCCCUGGCCUGAAUGUGUGGGUCUAGUCAAAAUGUGGAUGAGACUAACACAAGGCUCACAGAAACUGACACCCUUUGAAAUAGUACAGGGGCGACCCUUUCCUCUACCCAUUACAAGUGAACCGAUAGACAAAUCUAUAAGAGAAACAACACUAGUAGAAUGGAUGACAAAACUGUUAGAAAACAAAAAAAUAGUUUUGAACAAUCAACUGCCAGAUGAUUCUCUUCCAGUCUCUUCCAGGUUGAAACCAGGAGAUUGGAUCCUGAUAAAAGUGCUCCAGAGGAAAAAGUGGAGCUCCCCGAGAUGGGAAGGACCCUACCAAGUCCUCCUGGCCACACCAACAGCCUGCAAUAUUGCUGAACGACCUUCCUGGAUUCAUUAGAACCACUGUAAAAAAGUGAGCGACAGUCCACACUAAGACGCCAGCACCCCUGCCUGUUAGUGAUCUGGGAGGUGGAGAGAGGGCUGUUUGGGUAAAUCCCGCCCUUGUUCUUCUCGCCCCUAGUCUACUCACUCACAGGACCAGGUGUGUUCGGUCAUCAUGAAGACCCUACUCGUUCUGGUGGCCAGUGUCACAAUUCUGUUGGGACUGCUGUCGCUGAUUUCAGAAGAAGAAGGACAAGAUUGACACAUGACACAAUACAUCCAGACGACAUGACACAAGAUCACAACCACCCAUGGAUGAACAAUGCCUGGUACCGUUAUGUGUACAACUCCACAAGAGACAGAAACUAUUACAUCUGUUCGCACAUGCCUCUUAAUGCAAAACACCUGAUAAUGUGCAUUCCACCAACAUGUCUGACGCACUGAACACGCUACGUCAGCUCAGACGAGUACAGCAGCAAGAUUACACACACAACACAGAGGACUGGCUCACAUGGCUGUUUAACGGGUCAUGGAAGUCAUUACUCACUAAAGGACUAACAUUCGUUGGAAUGCUCCUUAUGCUACUUUGCUUAUUUUCCACAUGUGUACUGCCUUGUAUUCGGAGUAUGAUAAGCAAAAUGUUUACUGUAAGAUUGCAAGCUUAUGUUGCAUUAUCUCAAAAUGAACAAGCUCAAGAAGAGGUACAAGUUGAAGAAGAUGAUUUUUAAUCACUAACUGUGUAAACCCAAUAAAGUUGAUCAUGUACGUUUUCACAAAAUGAUACUCUAGUUGAAAAUGCUUCUGCAAGUGACUAGUAGUUGAAGUACAUAAAUAUAUAUGAACAACAGCAGGGAAUGUUAAGAGUUUUUGUGAUAUUUUAAAAAUGUUUUCCUUUGCCUUAUAAUGUUUCAUUUACUCAGUUGUCCUUAUAAUGUUUCAUUUACUCAGUUCUCCUUUUCCUGUUUCAUUUACUCACUAAGAAAGGCCUGAGAAGCACAUAGUGUUCACAUAUCUUUAUGUUUUGUCUUUGCUUCUUCUCACACACAUACACAUGAGCCCUGCAGUAAUCGCUGACUCCUGUAAAAGUAUCUUGCAGACACCCUUGGAAACAGGACCCAACUGGCUUCUGUUUUCCUCGAGAUAGACAAUACACUCACACACACACACACACACACUGUGUCCUAUACAUGCCCAGAUUGUCUGUUACAGCCUGAAAAAACAGGGAAUGCUACGAUGUAUAAAUAAAGCUGACUGCAAAGCCUCGGUGUGAGUAUCACCCGAUCACUCACCCGUGCGCACGUAGUUCUCUGAACAAAA